rnacentral:rRNA from 1 species
UACGUAGGGUGCGAGCGUUGCCCGGAUUUAUUGGGCGUAAAGGGCGCGUAGGCGGCCACGCACGUCCGUUGUGAAAUCGCCCGGCUCAACUGGGCGGGGUCAGCGGAUACGGUGUGGCUCGAGCAAGCUAGGGGGCAAUGGAAUUCCCGGUGUGAGUGGUGGAAUGCGUAGAUAUCGGGAGGAACACCAGUGGCGAAGGCGGUUGCCUGGAGCUUUGCUGACGCUGAGGCGCGAAAGCGUGGGGAGCGAUCCGG